UUAUUUAUUGUACUCUGACAUUGCAUUCAUCCAUUUUUUUUUUUGUUUUCAAAGUAACAGGUGUAGAAUACUAUAUCUGCACUUCUGUUUUACUAAUCACUUUGAUAUUGCCAUAAUUUGCGUUUUGGGACCGAGUGAUGAGCAUAUAAAGGGCAAAUUUGGGAGUUCACGACUCAAUCCAGUGGGUCGGUGGGUGGCAGGCAUGAAGUGACACUUUUUAACCCCCGACGACUAUCACAUGAGCUAAAAUAAAGCCCACAUAUGUACAUUCAAUAUUCUGGUGAGACAUGUUAGCUCUAGGAACUUGAUUGGUUUUUUAAAAAGUUCAGGCAUUUAAUCAAAAAGAUUUUUUUUUUUUUGGGCUGGAUGUUUGGUUGUAUGAUGUCCCUAUUUCCUUUGUCUUCCCUCGUCUAUUUCGACUAUCAGUUAACAAAAGGUUAAAAGUCUCUGAUUACGAUUUGUCUGUGAAUGGUAAUUGGAGUUGGGAAUUAGCAUGGUUCCGGAAUCUUAAAUCUUUUGAAGAAGAUUUUUGGAAUCAGUUAAAAGCAAAACUUGUUGAGAUAUUUCGGUGUUCCGAAAUGGUAACGACAGAUUCAUUCGGCGUUUUUGACAAAAAAGGUUUUGAAAUUGUCCACCCGAAGGUGUUCUGAAGUUUAAUGUUGAUGGGACUGCGAGAGGAAAACUAGGUUCUGCUGGUAUAGGUGGGGUUUUGAGAAAUUAUUUUGGCUUGGUUAGUUGUGUUUUCUAUCAAUCGGUGAGAAUUUUAGACUAUAAUGAGGCUGAAUUAUUGGCAAUUUUGAAGGCAAUUGAGUUAUUUCAGUCUAGCUAUAAUUAUCUACCUUUAAUUAUUGAAUCAAACUCCAAAAAAUGCCAUUUUGUGGGCUUCUCAGAUAGAUAAAUGACCUUAGCAACGGUGAGUUCGUUUUAAUAAGCUUGAUUCUUCAUUAUCUUCUUUGUUCAAAGUGGAUUUUAAACAUGUAAACAGAGAAUGCAAUUAAUUUGCAGAUUGUUUAGCUAAAAAGAGUGUUGAUGCUGUAAAACCUUUUGUGGCUUGGGUUUAAGUUUAUAGCUUUAGUGCUCUUCGUGUCAAAUGUUGAUCUAGUUGUUUUUAUUCUUAUUUCAAGAAGAAACACUAUAAUUUAUGCUUUU